rnacentral:tRNA from 1 species
GCGCUCGUAGCUCAAUUGGAUAGAGCAUCUGACUACGAAUCAGAAGGUUGUAGGUUCAAGUCCUGUCGAGCGCACCA